rnacentral:rRNA from 1 species
UGUAAGCGUAUACCAAAGUUGUUGCAGUUAAAACGCUCGUAGUCGGAAUUUGGCAGUUCCGGAUGUGUGCACGUCGUGUGCGCACUUCGCGGGGAUUGCUUUUGUGGUCUUGUGUAGGAUGAGGCACUUUUAUUAGUGAACGUCCUCACGCAACCACUUUUUACUGUGAGAAAAUCAGAGUGCUCAAAGCAGGCAUUUGCCGUGAAUGUAUUAGCAUGGAAUAAUAGAAUAGGACUUGGUUCUAUUUUGUUGGUUUGUUGGGACUGAGUAAUGAUUAAGAGGGACAGUUGGGGGCAUUUGUAUUUUGGUGCUAGAGGUGAAAUUCUUAGAUUACCGAAAGACAAACUGCUGCGAAAGCGUCUGCCAAGGAUGUUUUCAUUGA